rnacentral:rRNA from 1 species
GGCUCAUUAAAUCAGCUAUGGUUCCUUAGAUCGUACAUACUACAUGGAUAACUGUAGUAAUUCUAGAGCUAAUACAUGCCACUAUGCCCUGACCCGCAAGGGAACGGGUGGAUUUAUUAGAACAGAACCAACCGGUUGUGGCUUCGGCUGCUUCCGUUGCACUCUGUGAUGACUCUGGAUAACUUCACUGAUCGCAGUCGGCCUUGUGUCGGCGACGGAUCUUUCAAAUGUCUGCCCUAUCAAUUUUCGAUGGUAGGUGACCUGCCUACCAUGGUGAUAACGGGUAACGGGGAAUCAGGGUUCGAUUCCGGAGAGGGAGCCUGAGAAACGGCUACCACUUCCAAGGAAGGCAGCAGGCACGCAAACUACCCAAUCCCGGCACGGGGAGGUGGUGACGAAAAAUACGGAUACGGGACUCGUAUGAGGCUCCGUAAUUCGAAUGAGUACAAUUUAAAUCCUUUAACGAGGAUCAACUGGAGGGCAAGUCUGGUGCCAGCAGCCGCGGUAACUCCAGCUCCAGAAGCGUAUAUUAAAGUUGUUGCAGUUAAAAAGCUCGUAGUUGGAUCUGGGUCGUAUGGCUACGUGCCGUUGCUCGCAUUCUCGGCUUGGUUUCGACUAGGUCAAGUUUGUGGGUCGGUGUCGUGGCUGUGCAGCCUUUCUGCCGUGUCUGUUUCGACAGGUGCUGACUUAAUCGAUGGGCUUGUCUCGUUGGUUGGUUGGC